UUUUGGGCUGUUAAUACUUAAUCAAAAUGUUAAAUUAUUAUUUAAUUAUCAUUAAAUUAUCUAAUUACACCACUCAGUUUUUUUGUUGUUGUUAAAGUCAAGUAACACAACUGAGCCAUAGGCUAAACAGCAUUCAUACAGAUCGUUUUAAUAAGUGUUUUUGGAAACAUAGGCUAAGGAGUAAAAACUACAUUCCCCGGUUUUUUCAAAUACUCUCAUGAAAGGAGGAGCAUUAUGGGAUUUGAAGUGUGAUUUGCGUAGCUCAGGACACUCGCGGGCAUUCCGGUGGCAGGAGGACCAGUGGGUGAAAUAUCAGGGCGGAGCUUUCCCAGCUUGGCAGAUGGAUGCCUUGUGAACUUAAAGGCAAAGUAAUCAACUUAACAUAAAUCGCAAGAUGCAAUUUCACAGGGUCGGACGCCACCAUACGUUGUAGGUUGUAGUAGACAUUUUUGAUGAUAGUUAUAUCGCGUGUUUGAUCAAGCCAUUGAUGUAAGAGUAGCCUAUAUUAUCAUAUAUUUGAAAUGAGUAACGAGGCAAGUGCAUUGAUCUGUGACGUGUUAUUCCUUAAUCGAAGUCUCGUAGAUUACAUUUACGGUAUGACGCGAUGGUGAAUUACACGAGCACGAACUGUGUUGGGAGGGAGGUGUCAACCCAGAGGCUGAAUUUCGGCCAAUUAAAGUCGUCGACCCCCUUUGCAAUACGUCAGCCCGCAAAGGGAGGGCUCUGAGCUUGAGCGAUGUGUGCGGUUUCCAAGGCAACCACUUGUCCUGACCUCCCCAUCCCCAUCCUCCUCAGGCAAGAUUGGUUUCCAUGGUAAUGAUUGUAUCUCCCCGCAUGUUUCUAUUCCCGUAAAGCAAGCCGAGUGAACAGUCGAAAAGUAGCCUAGCCUGCUUUCCACCAAAGUCCCUCGGACCAUUUUCAAUUUGCAUUGCCUCUGCAAGAAAAUCUGAUCAUGUUAAACUAUGUGUUAUGUGAACCACAUAUCACAACUUUUAUGCAUUGGGCAGAUGCUUAUUUCUGCAUUUGGCAGUGACUUACAGUGCAUUCAAUGUAUAGCCUACAUAUAUCAUUAGCCUGUGGAAAUCAAACCCACGACCUUUGGCGCUGCUAACAAAAUCCUAUUGAGCUACAGAAACCAAAACGUGAUUAGGUCCAACUUAAUAUAAUGUCUUUUCUAUAUAAACACACAAAUGCAGAGACAGAUGUAUGAAACCAUUGUGAAUUACAAAUGUCCUCUAUUCAAAUCUGUUUCUUAAUGUGUAGUAGUAACAAAGUCACAGAACACCUUUAAUGUCUGUUCAUUACAGCCAACAGACCUAGCUAAGACCUAGCAGUGACUUUCUUAGGAAAUGUUUGAGAGUAGAUGUCAUAUGUGACAAAUUAACUCACUGAAAAGCCUCUGUUCAGUUCUCCUGUCUGAGCCUUUCAAGCUCUUCUGGAAUUUCAGCUUCCUGUAACCUGUUGAGACUCAUCUGCAUGCCACGGACUAAGGGUGUGUUCACCAAAGGAAUGGGGGCUGGGGUGGGGGUGACCGGAGAGAUACAGACAAUGAAAGAGAGAGGGAGCUGUAUCUCUCCUUCACACAGGUGUAUACACACACAUAUGCACGCAAAUAUACACUCACUCAGACUCUUUCUUUUUAUCUCCAGCACAAGCACA